UGUGGCCAAAGGUUCAAAACCAUCAAAACCCAGGGGUCUGCGGUUCAUAGGUCAAGGAUUAUAGGUCAGCGAUAAACAGUCAUAGGUUAUAGGGUUGUAUGUCAAGUGUCAGAGGUCAGAGUUAAUAAGGCAAAUGUCAUAGUCCAUAGGACAGACGUCAUGGGUCACAGAUUAAGGAUUAAAAGGUCAAAGAUCAUACAUCAGGGGACCGUCUCUUGGUUUGCACAUUCUGGCCACGCUUGGUGCAGAUAGCACUUCCCCCUCCCUGUCCCCAAGUGGGUGGUUUUUUAACACAUUAUUAACAUGAUAAAAUAAGGUUUUGAAAGCAGUAAUUUUUGUCACAUGAACAGCUGGAGCAGGACCUUCUAAUAAGAAAAAAUUGUCGAAUACUUUGGGACAAAAAUUGAGAGAUUUUAAACCUUACAUGCUAACAACCAUUCUGGAACAGAAAAGCAGUCAUUGGCUUUCCCCAGGCAGGCUGUUAAAAUAUCAGGCUAUGCUUUUAGAACAAGAGGAUUUAGAAUUGAAAGUGACCAACCUUUUGAACUCAGCAGUGUUCAUGACAACCGAUUCAGAGGCAGGGGAGUAGCUCACAACUAUUUAUAGACUGCCAAGCAGGUGUAUUCCAGUCAUACCGACCCACAAGACACAUCCCUGAAGGAUGUGAACUGUUUGUGGAUGAGUGCUGACACCUUCCCAUAGUUUUGGGUGACCCUUCUCUUUUCAAACGCAAAAUUCAGAGGUCAGUUACUACAGUUGCAAGUUUUCAUCCUCCCUUCCAGGGAUUUGCUUUUGAAACCCCUUAUCAGGGUCACACUCACAGCACAACAGAAGCCCUUAAGGCUCAUGGUUACUUCUUCCUUUUGCUCACCUCUGCCCAGGUCUCAGAAUUCCCAGCAGUGCUCCCCCUGGUCCCCCAGACUGAGUGCUGUGGAAAAUAAUGACUAGUAAUAAGCCACGUUGUAAGAUGCUGUGCAUGAUGAAGCAGAUGCUAAGGAGAUUAGAUUAGAGGACUGGUUUUGGUGAAGUGACUAUAGAUUUUUUCCACUUCUUCUGUAAUGGAACGCCUUGAGACAGGUGCUGACAAAAAAUGUCCCAUUGCUAAUGCUUCCCCUUGGUUGAUAGUCCUAUGCAAUCUGGAGCUAGGCCAGAGUAUCAGGUUGCACUCCAACAUGAAAAGCUAGAAGUCUGAUCUGGAAAGAAUUGGAACUGCCCAUGGAAUGCUGUUAGACACACGAUCGAAUAGUGGUUUGCUGAGGAGAGGAUGACCAGGCCUCAGUGUUAUCUGAGAUCAGUAUAGAGAAAACAAAAUUUGCAGCCAUGGCAGCGACUGCUGUCCCUUAAAUGUUGCCCUUUACAGGGCUUGGCACCCUGAACUGUAAUAGAGACUGUUAGUCUUUCUUGUGGCCAGUGAACAGGGCUGAAGGAACUGAAAGACCUUGCAGAAACUGGGGAAUGGCUGCUUGUUUUGCUGCAUGUGGAUAUAUGUGAUUGCACAUAUAUCUGCGCACACGUGCCUUGUGCAUGUGCUCUGUUACUUUCUGCCACAGUCAUUUCAGUGUUGUGAUAGUUCCAUGUGCCAAGUAAGAAGGAUACAAAAAAGUUGCCCAGCAGUUAUGUCAGACAACUCAGGGCUCUUGGCUACUAGCCCACACAAAGUCAUUAUCUUCAGCUGUUUUCAAAUAAGCUUUGUAGAUUAGAACUAAUGUCCAAGAUAAGUAACUAAGAACAUAACUAGAUUUUAAUAUUUAGAAUUUGUAUGCUCCUUUACUGGCUAAAAUACUGUAAUUUCAUAUGCCAUUAGGCUAUGAAACUUCAUCUGAGCAGAGAUUAUUAAUGUUCACUCAUCCCAUUUUAGAAUUCACAUCUGUUGUUUUAACUAUAUAAAAUCUUUCUGCACCUAAGGCACUUCUUUAAAUCUUUGUUUCAUACGUUCUGGUGGCUUACUUUGCUUUUAGAUUAGCUCCUUUAUUAGACUGUGUUUUCUCAAGGUCUGAAAUGAGAUGAAUCUAUAAAAAUCUUAUUUUCAGAUGAGGAUUUCCCAGCUCAUGCUUCAGCUCACAAAUGCUCAUGGGCACACCUAUGCAUGUUACAUGGGCAAACAGUACUGGUCACACAAAGACACAUGCACCCUCCUGUCAGUCUGUAAGAUCUAGUGAAUGUUGACCAAAUUUGCCAUAUUAUUCUGUUUAUUCCAUCACACUCAGGUGAUGUAAUUUAGCUUUCUUUUCCUACCUGCCAAACUCUCACACCUCCUCAUUCCCCCAGAUACUCUAACUUGAUGAUAAAACACUUUUGGAAGAAGUUGCAUUGUUUUCUGCAAUGCUUGUUAUUUCAGAUGCAAAAGUCAUCAACAGUGCUAUCCGGGAAGACCACUUCACAGAACCCAGUAACAUAUCCCAGAUACUGUGGAGUAGGAACCUACUUCUUUAUAUGAUCCUGGCUUUUUAAAGAAACCUCAUAUCAAACUAAAGCCACAUUCACUGCCUGUCACCCCAGUUUUGGCAGAAGAGUGUUAAGGGCCUUUAAGCCUCAGUAGUCCCAGAGAUUCAAUAGCUUGCCUGAUGACUGCUGGAGAGCCUGUGGCAGAGGAAAGACUGGAGUCCAGUUGUUAGUCCCUGCUCUGACUGUUCCGCUAAUGUGAAUGAAAAGACACUUGAGGAACUACAACAGUUCAAAAAAUAAAGCAAACUUAAAAAUUAUGUCUGAAGGAAACAAAUCUGAAGUAAGAAAAUCUGACAGUGAAGCACUUACCAUCUGCAGCUGUAGUGCACAAUUGAUUUUAAGGGCUCUGGAUUGCAAUGUGCUGCGUUGCUUGGCAUGUGACACACUGGCACAUCACAUCGAGUGUGCUACCAGUCUUUUUGCAUGUGUACUUGCCUUCUGGUAAUAAUCAUGUUUCACACAGUAAGUGAAAAAGACCAAUAAAUGGCUCGUCUUUUGUGAGUCUGUUGAUGUGGUUUGCUCUUGCUUUGGCACUGCACAUCCAUGUUUCUUGUGUCAUGUUGAAGUACAGCAGAACACUCGGGAGUAUAUGUCUUUAAGAGAACAAAGCCUAUCAGAUGCAAAUUUGGACGCAGGCAUAUGCAUCUUUGAAUCAGAGUUCAAGUGGACUCAUAUGUAUUUCAGUGAUGUGGUCAUUACCACUGCUUUGACUGGUGGUGUGAAGCUGCAGGUUAAGCCAGCGCUUUUACAAACAGUAUUUGUGAGCUCUGCUUUGACACUGCCACUCAGUAUAGUAAGUUUUAAACAUGCAUGCUGAUUGAUCCAAGUUGUCUUGUUGGCAGCAACCUCGAACCUUGAAUCUUGUUCUCUUCAUUCAUUAGAGGAUUAAUUUUGGACUGCAAAUGACAGCAAGCGGGGGUGAGCUACAGAAGAUGCCAGACACCACUUGCUGGCACAGGGAACUUACAGUGUACAGCAAUGCCCUAUCCCUGCUUGUUAUGUGGCCCAUACGCCAAAUGUUUGUCUGAUACAAAUCUGCAAAAUUCCAAAACACUGUGUUAAUUUAUGUACUUCAUUACAAGCAUAUUUAUCCUUAUGUUAUUUUUACUUCAGCUUACCCAUCCAUCUGCAGCAAAGGUGCAGAUGAAAGAAAGCUUCAGUCACCACAACAGCAGUAGCUACCCCUCUGUCUAGGACAUGGUGAACAGCAUGCUAAUGUCAGGCAGAGUCACGGAUUGCUAGUGAGGGGUGAAUAAAUAGUGCAGUUAUUUCCUGGGGAAUGACAAUACUACAGGGAUGUGACGUAAUACAGCCAACAACACUGGCAGUCUGGCUUCUGUCUCUCCUGGAAAACUUCACUGUCCUUAAGGGGCUGAUAUAUAUAAUAAUGAAGAGGGCAGUUCUGCCCAUGGUUCAACUGACUUAUUCUAUGUUUACAGGGUUUUCAAUUCUGACAAAGCUAAUAACCUCACUUUUAAUAAUUAAUCUCUCCUAUACUGUAAAAUAAGUUGUAAAAUGCAGAGUGUCACAGUACUGUAGGUACUUAGUUGUCAUUGUCUUGUCUGCAGUGAUUUGACCCUUAUCAAUAAAAUGACAAAGGGCUCACUAUAAAACCCUGGCAGCUGGAAUAUCUGACUGUAACUGUAUGCCUUGAUAAAGCCCUAGCAAUUGCUUGCUGUACUAAUACCUGAUUGAAGCCAGUUCUACAAUGGCAGCUCUAUGCUUUUGCUUACAAGGUCUUUCUAAGGCUACUUGAGGAAGGAAACUGAAGCUUACAAAUACUCUUUUUGGGCCCAGUAGUCUAGUUGCAAGUCUAGAUUUGGAAAGAUUUGCCUUGUCUUGACAGGGUUUUUUUAAAGCUUUCUUGUGUAUUUGAGGCUGGGGAAGGGUGUCUAGUUACCAGUUUCAGACACAUGGGUCUUUUAUCCACAUACCAGCUACAGAAUGAAGAGCGCAGCCUUGAAAUCGGCAGGCUUUGGCCUUCCUACCUUAAAAAGUUACACCAUUUUUUGUGUAGUGGCAUAUGGCAUGCUCUGAGGCUGCAAUUUGAACAAAAAAAAGGUAGCAGAAAUAUUGCUAUUCUUCACUCCAAAGCAUAAAGCAGUUCUGAGAGGUGGAGCAUACUGCAGGAGUGAAAAAAUAUAAAGACAGAAAAGUCUAACACAGCGAGGGCAUUCUUCCAUUUCAAACUUCUUCUGAUUAAGGCGCAUUCAAGAUGUAGCAUUUCCAUUCCAUGCUUUACUGAAAAUGGAAGGAAUAAAUUCUGUCCUGUGAGUAACAGACUGGCUGAUUGUUUAGAGCAUUGCUUUCAAAAAAUAAAGAUCUAAUAUGGAAAAGCAGUAGCAUGUGCUCUUGUCCUUUUGGGUCUCACUGCAGGAUCCAGGUGAUACAGACUGGUAAAAUGACUUUGGGGACUGUUCUUUUGAAGACAGCAACAGGACCUUGUGUGCCAGUGUGACUUUUGAAACACACUAUGCCAUUUGCAAACUAGACACUUUUCAGAAAUCCAGAAAGUGCCAUACAAGCAGAUAUUUAUGUGCUCACUGUGCAGGAAAGCAGAGCUUUCUAUCAUUUGGUCAAGGAGGAAGUGGCUUCUUCAGUACUGGAAAUAACUGAAAGUUCUGAACAUAAGGGUACUGUGGCAGUUUGUAGGAUGCUAUCUCCCAUGAACUGAGCUGGCCUGGAAAGAAUGUUUAAUGUGCCUGACAAGAAGCUCUGCUCAGUUAUCCUGAACUUCAGGGUGAGCUGAGCCUCCUAGCAGCUGCUACUGUCAUUUAUUGGUAGGCCCUACCAAAGCCAGUGGAAAACAGUGCCACCCUGACGAGUUGCUUGGAGUAGUGAAAGGCAGAGAAACAUCUCCAGUGCAGUGGGGCUGCCUGGAGUACAAUUCAUAUGACAUAUCUGUGACAGCAGUGGACUCCUUUUACUGCCUCUAUGAGACCAUGUGCAUCUGGGUGAAUGACUCUGCUCUUCAUAUUGUAUACAAUAGUGUUUCUGUGAUGAAAUUUGGCAGUGUUGAGGUCACAGGGCACUCCAUUUGUCUGUUCUCAUAUCAUACAGAGAAUAACCUAUUGCUGUUUGUUUAGCUAACACAAUGGAGCUCCAGUCUGUGAUAGAGUUUCUCUUGUGCUCUCAUCAUGCAAAUAAGUAAACAGUGAUAUUAAAAAGAGGGGGGGACAAAUGUGUUGUCUUGAGUAGAGCAGGUUGGAUAUUCCAGCAUGUUUCAAGCUGUAUGAAGCACCCUGUGGGAUUUGGCCUUGCAUGUUUCAGUGUUAAUUUUUUUUUUUUUUAGCUUUGGAGGGAAGAUAAGAAGCUUUCACUGCUACACCAAAGCAUCCAUAUCAUAUAUUUAUAUAUUCUACAGGACUACAGAUUUCAGGCGACUGCCAAGCAUUUUCUCAUUCAGGGAAGUACAGCAGGGAUUUCUGUAAAUAUUCCAUUAAGAGAUCAGUUUGCUGUAGGAGCCUUGUAGAAUUCUGCCUGCAGGACAGACUAACUUUAAGCAUUUUGUGUAUGUGGCAACCUGCUCUAAUUAAGGUAUCACCUGUUCAUGGCAACAGUGUUAGCAAAGGUAAAUCCAGGCAUGGCUUCUGUUGGGGUUCUGAGAAGAGUGAAUUGACUGUCUUGGGUUUUAGUGGAAAAUGGAAGGGUCUCUAAAUGGUGCUUCUGUCUUAGGAAUUAAAGCCUGUUUGGUAAAAGGAAUAAGCUUGACCCUUAUGAGUAACAUGAGUGGUGAUAUAACUACAUUAAUGCUAGGUGUUGUGUAAAUAUUUCAAUUUAGGAAAAUGGUACUGCUAACUUACAUUAUGUAACUUAGCAUUAUUCAGGGGUUUCUAAGAACUGAGAGAUGGAAUCCAGGUCACACUGUCCCUGGGUAUCUUUCCAAUUUGACACUAGUAAUACAUUUAAUCCCUCAAGCAUUACAGACCUUAAGAUGAAGCUGUCCAUGUGAGAAGUAAUUGCAGUGACCCACAGGUUUUACAAAAACAUGGAAGGUAGUAUGACAGCCCUCCACUUCCUUCUUUCCACUCAAAAUAUUUCAGAAAGGUAGAAACUAUACUUGGCUUGAAUUUUACUGAGUAGCUUCCUUGCAUUACAGUUUAUUGCAUCUGGGUUUUUCUAAGACACCACUAUCAGAAGUGUCUCUGUGUAAACCAACUGCAGAAUAAGCCGUUAUCUUUACUGUGCUACAGAAUUAAGUUAUGGAGCCCAUGUCAAAGAGAAUGAAAGACCUACAGAGUGGAGUAAAUCAUCACUCUGAUAUAAUUCACAGCAAAAUACACCCAAAAGAACUUAAUUAUUUGUAUGCCACUGGUUAAUAUGCUGGUGUAAAUAGGUGUUUCCUGAAAUGAGGUUGUGGUAAGGUGUCAGUCUCUUUUACCAAGUAACAAGCAAUAGGGCAAGAGGAAAUGGGCUCAAGUUGUGCCAGAGAAAAUUUGGAUUGGAUAUCAGGAAAAAUUUCAUCAUUGAAGCAUCACUCAAGCACUGGAACAGGCUGCCCAGGGAAGUGGUGGAGUCACCAUCCCUGAAGUUAUUUAAAAGACAUGUAGUUGUGAUGCUUAGAGACAUGGUUUAGUGGUUCCCUUGGCAGUGCAAGGUUAGUGGUUGGACUUGAUGAUCUUAGAGAUCCUUUCCAACCUAUAUGAUUCUAUGAUUCCUCUUUUGUACCAUUAAUUAAGGAACACUCUCAAGUAAAUGCCAAAAUGGUGUAAAUAAUCUAAGUUAAAAGGAGGGGGAAAUUAAACAUGAGGUAAAAUGACUUCCUCAAAGCCAUGCACAGAACAUGUGCCAGAGAGGACUAGUCCUGACUCCAAGUCAUAUUUUCAGGCCAUGAACAGACUUCCUUUCUUCACAUGAGAUUAAAGUAUAAUGGUGGAAUAUCUCUUUUAGGUAGCAGAAAUACUUCUUUCAUGCUUGAGUUUGCCAGAUUGUUGCAUGUGAUUGAUGAAAAGCUGGAGGUGAUAUUCCUAACCACUGAAACAGCAGAAUCCUGAAGGGGACAUCUUUGUCCAUCAUCUUCGAUACCUACAGCCUGAUUUUCUUCUCAUUCAGUUUAUACAACCUUAAUUCCUCUGAACACAUAGAAUUAAAGCAAGACUGUAAUGUGCUUUGGCCUAGACUCUGGGGGAAAGCAACUCUCCAGUGUGCACGGGAAUUAAGUCUUGAUGACUUGCUCAGUCCUCGUGCUGACUCAGAGGUGGACAGGCAACAUGCCGAGAAAGUAUGAAGGGUGGGAGUUUUGAAAUGCCUUGGACUAAUUUCCCUUUUUGGUUAAAUCAGUGUUAAAACUACAGUGCAUUAGGAUUAUCCCAGAUUUACUGAACAAAAAGGUCAUGUGUCACCCUUUCUGUUUUUUUCUUUGAUAAAUCAGCAGAGUUUUGUUUUCAUAAUGAAUGUUAAAACCUAAAAAAGCAUACUUCAGAACAAAAAAGCAGCUUUUUACAAGUAUUUCUACCCUAAGAGCAGGCUCAUAGAAAGUAAAAACUGAAAGCCAUGAGCCCUCUGCUCAUGCUAGAAAAUGUUUAUUAACCUGCAUUUGUGCUUUUUGUAGAUAUUUAUAAAGAUUACUUUGGCUCUGUAUUGAUGACCAUUUCUAAUAAAAUGUCAAAUGCUCUCCAGA